rnacentral:sRNA from 1 species
AUGCGCUGCUCGCCGGGAGGCGUCUGGCUGGCGCUGGCCGCGUCGCUCCUGCACGUGUCCCUGCAAGGCGAGUUCCAGAGGAAGCUUUACAAGGAGCUGGUCAAGAACUACAAUCCCUUAGAGAGGCCCGUGGCCAAUGACUCGCAACCGCUCACCGUCUACUUCUCCCUGAGCCUCCUGCAGAUCAUGGACGUGGAUGAGAAGAACCAAGUUUUAACCACCAACAUUUGGCUGCAAAUGGUAAGUUAAGAGAAUGACAGUCUCUCCCAUGGGCUGCAAGAUCUUGCACCCAAGAUUCUUGUCCUGAUACCUGAGAUGCUUGCUUCUGAGAGGUCCUGUUUAGGAAAAAAAACAAAAAAACAAAAAAACAAAAAAAAGGCCAUGGCUGUCACACCAACUCCACACCUGCCAACAAUGAAUGCUGGCUGUAUGACACUACAGUCUGCAGUGCUCAACACAUGCACAAGAUCAACACAUGGGACCAGGUAAUGUGGGGACACCUCAGAAGCACUUCAGGCAAGACAAGAAGAUACAGGGCUGUGUGUAGAUGUCCACAACCUGCACCACAGCCAGUCCCCAGGACUCAGAAGCUCCAUCCCUGCCCUCUGUGGCCUCCGGAGCCGCAUGUUUGAAUCAGGUGGAGUGUUCCGAAACCAGAGGCCCUCGUACUUUGUGCUCUAGCAAUGCUUAUAAGAAUCUUGAAGUGCUACCUAUCAUUUGUAGAUUUUUAACUUGACAUCUGCAAUACUAAUCUAAAUUUGAUUAAUUGCAAAUGAUGCCACUUAACAUCCAGUUGUAAAUAUUAACACUGAAAAAUGAAACAGUCAGUCUCUAUUUUAAAUGGAAUUCAAAAUACCAUAAUAAUUUGGUGCCCAUCUCAUUCAAACACCAUAUGAACAAGCCUUUUUUUAAACUGUCAGAUAUUUAACAUAGUCCCUUUUUUCUCUUUGCACAUGCAUUUCUAUUCUAGUUUCUAUAUGGAAUUUUAUCCUAAUGUAAUAUAAUUUUAUGUUUGAAAGUCUCUUUUUUGUUUGUUUGUUUGUUUGAGACAGAGCCUUGUUCUGUCAUCCAGGCUGGAGUGCAGUGCAGUGGCGCAAUCUUGGCUUACUGCAACCUCUGCCUUCCAGGUUCAAGUGAUUCUCCUGCCUCAGACUCCCAAACAGCUGGAAUUACAGGCAGGCACCACCACACCUGGCUAGUUUUUGUAUUUUUUAGUAGAGACAGGGUUUCUUCAUGUUGGCCAGGCUGGUCUUGAACUCCUGACUUCAGGUGAUCCACCCACCUCGGCCUCCCAAAGUGCUGGGAUUACAGGCAUGAGCCACCAUGCAGGGCCGAAAGUCUUUUAUUAAUCGUGCCUUGGUUUUUUCAAAUGUAAAUAUUUACACAAGAAUUAUUCCUUUACACCGUAAGUAUUAAAUUUUGUUUCUUUUGGAUUGAUUUAAGUUUACUAUUGUUAUUGGUAUUAUAAUUCAUCAAGGUGACAUAAAUUAAAAUUUUUAAGUAAUUAUAAAACAUAAAUUUUUAUUGGCAAUUUAUAUCUCUGCCCAAGAUGAGUUUGUUUUAAAUUAGUUCAUGUAUCCACAGAUGACUUUUUAUUACUUGAAUGGAGAGAGUGAUAGUUUUCACUUCAAUUCUGUUGCUGUUUUUUAACUAGGUGUAGUAACAUGAGUAGUUGGACAUGAAAGCCACUUUGUUAAAGCAAUGUUACUCAAUCUUUGAAUUUCUUCUAGGUUAUAUGCCAAAAAUAAUGUAGUUUUUAUCAAAUGUAUCAGCUGACAGCUUGAUUAGUUUCUCCUUCAAUUUUGUUGAAAACAAAGAAUUAAAAGAAUUUAAACCCACCUGACCUUUGAAAGUAUUUGCCACCCAAUUUGUAAGGUAAUUCACACAGACACAAACGCUGAUACUUUAAUUGACCAUUUGUUUGGUUCUUGAGUCAGUGUCCCAAGAUGGGAGUUGAGGUAAGAUAAGAGAAAUGUGCCCUUCUUUGUAAAGUUGAAUGGGAGAAGUGAAACUGGAGGCAAAGGAUAGUCCCAUGUGGUUCUUGGGCAAUUGAGUUAUCCUGCGAAUACACGUGGAGUUGAGGGAUAGAAAAUGGAUCUGCAUCCAGCCUGGCCAACAUGGUGCAACCCUGUCUCUACUAAAAAUACAAAACUUAGCUG